AGCGAACGCUGGCGGCAGGCCUAACACAUGCAAGUCGAACGGACCUUUCGGGGUUAGUGGCGGACGGGUGAGUAACACGUGGGAACGUGCCUUUAGGUUCGGAAUAGCUCCUGGAAACGGGUGGUAAUGCCGAAUGUGCCCUUCGGGGGAAAGAUUUAUCGCCUUUAGAGCGGCCCGCGUCUGAUUAGCUAGUUGGUGAGGUAAUGGCUCACCAAGGCGACGAUCAGUAGCUGGUCUGAGAGGAUGACCAGCCACAUUGGGACUGAGACACGGCCCAAACUACUACGGGAGGCAGCAGUGGGGAAUCUUGCGCAAUGGGCGAAAGCCUGACGCAGCCAUGCCGCGUGGAUGAUGAAGGUCUUAGGAUUGUAAAAUCCUUUCUCCGGUGAAGAUAAUGACUGUAGCCGGAGAAGAAGCCCCGGCUACAGUCAUUAUCUUCACCGGUGAAAGGAU
rnacentral:rRNA from 1 species